CAGAGCUUUAGUGCUAAGACCACAUCUUUCAAUUCAAUAUCAUGUGUGGGGUAGUUCUUUUCAUGUGGUUUUAAUAGGUGCGGAGCAGACGCCAUGACCUUCCCUUUAUUGCAUAAGGACGCAACCGAGUCCAUUCAAUGAUGUAUUUAUGUAUACUGUAUACUGAACUCUAGGUUCUCAAUGCACCAACACUAGAGUUUUAGCUAGAACCACCUUUAGGUUUUCAAAGCUUUACUGACACUCUUUUC
rnacentral:lncRNA from 1 species